rnacentral:rRNA from 1 species
GAUGAACGCUAGCGGGAGGCCUAACACAUGCAAGCCGAGCGGUAUUGUUUCUUCGGAAAUGAGAGAGCGGCGUACGGGUGCGUAACACGUGUGCAACCUGCCUUUAUCUGGGGGAUAGCCUUUCGAAAGGAAGAUUAAUACUCCAUAAUAUAUUGAACGGCAUCGUUUAAUAUUGAAAGCUCCGGCGGAUAGAGAUGGGCACGCGCAAGAUUAGCUAGUUGGUGAGGUAACGGCUCACCAAGGCGAUGAUCUUUAGGGGGCCUGAGAGGGUGAUCCCCCACACUGGAACGGAGACACGGACCAGACUCCUACGGGAGGCAGCAGUGAGGAAUAUUGGUCAAUGGGUGCAAGCCUGAACCAGCCAUCCCGCGUGAAGGACGACUGCCCUAUGGGUUGUAAACUUCUUUUGUAUAGGGAUAAACCUACCCUCGUGAGGGUAGCUGAAGGUACUAGACGAAUAAGCACCGGCUAACUCCGUG